GGAAAACUUGAGAGGGUCUUACACUUUUAAUCCUCCAGUCAGUGAUUGUCUUGGGACCAUACUGCGGUGAAUUGGCGGAAUAAAAGAAAACUGCUUUCCUGGCCUAUGGUAAACUAAUUAAGUGUUUGACUGACAGAAUGUUGGUGCCAGCAUUGGAAGAAUUGAUCAGCCUCAACUCCAGAUCUCUAUCCUGAGAGACAACAACAGGAUGUACCUUGGAGAAGAGUCUCAGGGUGGAGAAUUUUUGAUUGAAUUCAGAACCAUCAAUCUCAGGGAGCUCCAGUUCACAAGGUUGAGGUAAAAUACUAAUUUCAUUACUAGAUUAAUACUAAGUAGACUACUUGUAAAAAACAAAAUACUGUAGUACUUUCCAAGUAUACAAUAUUUGUUGAUAAGUUACUGAAUGAAGAAUUCUUUUCUUUAAAACUGGACAAAAACUUGGAUUCUUUAUCUGUUUAUGAAUUCUGAAAACAUGGGUCUCUAACUAUUAGCAGUAUUUCAUUUUAUCUCUGCCACUUACUCAGACUGAGACAUUGGGAAGGAUUUCAAAAGUGGUUUCCAAUUUUAGAUAGCUCUGUUUUGAUUGCUCACCUUCAGGCACUGUAAACUUGGUUUUCUAGUAGUAUUGAACA